AAACAUGUCUUUUUGAAUUAAAUUUAAAGUCUAGCCUGCCCACUGAUAUAUUAAAUGGCCGCAGUAUCCUAACUGUGCAAAGGUAGCAUAAUCAUUAGUCUUUUAAUUGAAGGCUGGUAUGAAUGGUUGGACGAGAUACUAACUGUUUCAAUUGAAUUUAUAAUAGAAUUUUAUUUUUUAGUCAAAAAGCUAAAAUAUAUUUAAAAGACGAGAAGACCCUAUAAAUCUUGAUAUUUUUAAUAAUUUUAAUUAUAAAGAUUUAUUUGAUUAUCAUUAUUAAAAAUAUUUUAUUGGGGUGAUAUUAAAAUUUAAUAAACUUUUAAUUUUUGGGCUCAUUAAUUUAUGAAUAAUUGAUCCGUUUUUAGCGAUUAGAAAAUUAAGUUACUUUAGGGAUAACAGCGUAAUUUUUUUGGAGAGUUCAUAUCGAUAAAAAAGAUUGCGACCUCGAUGUUGGAUUAAGAUAUAGGUUUGGGCGCAGCCGCUCAAAUAUUUAGUCUGUUCGACUAUUUAAUUCUUACAUGAUCU
rnacentral:rRNA from 1 species